GAGUUUGAUCGUGGCUCAGAACGAGCGCUGGCGGCAUGCCUAACACAUGCAAGUCGAACGCUUCUCUUCGGAGAGGAGUGGCGCACGGGUGAGUAACGCGUGGAAACCUGCCCCGGAGUGGGGGAUAACCCGGCGAAAGCCGGGCUAAUACCGCAUACGGCCUACGGGCGAAAGAUUUAUCGCUCUGGGAGGGGUCCGCGUCCGAUUAGCUAGUUGGCGGGGUAACGGCCCACCAAGGCGACGAUCGGUAGCUGGUCUGAGAGGAUGAUCAGCCACACUGGGACUGAGACACGGCCCAGACUCCUACGGGAGGCAGCAGUGGGGAAUAUUGGACAAUGGGGGCAACCCUGAUCCAGCAAUGCCGCGUGAGUGAUGAAGGCCUUAGGGUUGUAAAGCUCUUUCGCACGCGACGAUGAUGACGGUAGCGUGAGAAGAAGCCCCGGCUAACUUCGUGCCAGCAGCAGCCGCUGUAAC
rnacentral:rRNA from 1 species